rnacentral:snRNA from 1 species
GUCCCUUCGGGGACAAUUGGUCAAAGAAACGAUACAGAGAAGAUUAGCAUGUAAGCCGCUCCCGUGCGCGCGUUCGAAACACUUUGGCUGACCCACCCUAGGGCCCCUGCACAAGGAUGACACUGCGAUACAAAGAGAGAAAAACCAUUUUU